GGAGAGUUUGAUCAUGGCUCAGGACGAACGCUGGCGGCGUGCCUAAUACAUGCAAGUCGAGCGAACCAAUAAGAAGCUUGCUUUUUGUUGGUAGCGGCGGACGGGUGAGUAACACGUGGGUAACCUGCCUGUAAGACCGGGAUAACUCCGGGAAACCGGUGCUAAUACCGGAUAGAUUAUCUUUCCGCCUGGAGAGAUAAGGAAAGAUGGCUUUUGCCAUCACUUACAGAUGGGCCCGCGGCGCAUUAGCUAGUUGGUGAGGUAACGGCUCACCAAGGCGACGAUGCGUAGCCGACCUGAGAGGGUGAUCGGCCACACUGGGACUGAGACACGGCCCAGACUCCUACGGGAGGCAGCAGUAGGGAAUCUUCCGCAAUGGACGAAAGUCUGACGGAGCAACGCCGCGUGAGCGAAGAAGGUCUUCGGAUCGUAAAGCUCUGUUGUUAGGGAAGAACAAGUAUCGGAGGAAAUGCCGGUACCUUGACGGUACCUGACGAGAAAGCCACGGCUAACUACGUGCCAGCAGCCGCGGUAAUACGUAGGUGGAAAGCGUUGUCCGGAUUUAUUGGGCGUAGAGCGCGCGCAGGCGGUCCUUUAAGUCUGAUGUGAAAUCUUGCGGCUCAACCGCAAGCGGUCAUUGGAAACUGAGGGACUUGAGUACAGAAGAGGAAAGCGGAAUUCCACGUGUAGCGGUGAAAUGCGUAGAGAUGUGGAGGAACACCAGUGGCGAAGGCGGCUUUCUGGUCUGUAACUGACGCUGAGGCGCGAAAGCGUGGGGAGCAAACAGGAUUAGAUACCCCUGG
rnacentral:rRNA from 2 species